rnacentral:rRNA from 1 species
GAUGAACGCUGGCGGCGUGCUUAACACAUGCAAGUCGAACGAAGCACUUAUGACAGAUUCUUCGGAUGAUGGAUUAAGUGACUGAGUGGCGGACGGGUGAGUAACGCGUGGGUAACCUGCCUCAUACAGGGGGAUAACAGUUAGAAAUGACUGCUAAUACCGCAUAAGCGCACAAUACCGCAUGGUAUGGUGUGAAAAACUCCGGUGGUAUGAGAUGGACCCGCGUCUGAUUAGCUAGUUGGUGGGGUAACGGCCUACCAAGGCGACGAUCAGUAGCCAGCCUGAGAGGGUGAACGGCCGCAUGGGGACUGAGACACGGCCCAAACUCCUACGGGAGGCAGCGGUGGGGAAUAUUGCACAAUGGGCGAAAGCCUGAUGCAGCGACGCCGCGUGAAUGAAGAAGUAUUUCGGUAUGUAAAGUUCUAUCAGCAGGGAAGAAAAUGACGGUACCUGACUAAGAAGCACCGGCUAAAUACGUGCCAGCAGCCGCCGUAAGAC